AGAUUGAACGCUGGCGGCAUGCUUUACACAUGCAAGUCGAACGGUAACAGGCCGCAAGGUGCUGACGAGUGGCGAACGGGUGAGUAAUGCAUCGGAACGUGCCCAGUCGUGGGGGAUAACGCAGCGAAAGCUGUGCUAAUACCGCAUACGAUCUAUGGAUGAAAGCGGGGGACCGAAAGGCCUCGCGCGAUUGGAGCGGCCGAUGUCAGAUUAGCUAGUUGGUGGGGUAAAGGCCCACCAAGGCGACGAUCUGUAGCUGGUCUGAGAGGACGACCAGCCACACUGGAACUGAGACACGGUCCAGACUCCUACGGGAGCAGCAGGUGGGGAAUUUGGACAAGU
rnacentral:rRNA from 1 species